rnacentral:lncRNA from 1 species
UUUAGUCAAAGUCGAGACAUCCUUUGUUAAAGUUAGUAUGACUUUUGACUUGCGGUGCUAGACUCUCUGCCCACGAACAAUUUCACCGUUUUCCAAGCUGUAAAAACAUCUGUAACAUUGGGAUCAGCGGGGGGACACACACACCACGUAUAUCCAUAGUAAACUGAACUGAUCUCAAAACGGAACACCGAUCCCCACCGAGUCAAAAACGUCCACGAUCAUUCAGAGUGCGCCAUUUUUAACUUUGAUAAUUUACCAACCAAAACAGCUUUGCAGUUGUUGUAGCGACAGCAGCCGACCACUGGGGAAUAAAAAUUAGGAGCCGGGAUCCAGGGUAUCCAACCGCACUACCGCGUGGCUGGCCAAUGCUUUAACUAGGAGGAACGUUUUCUUUUCUUCUUUUAUUUAUUUCGAGGAAGGGGAGCAGAUGAAAUCUGCCGUCGAUAUUCUUGCUGCUUAAUGCUAGGCACAUGGAUCAUGGUGCAUGGCCGGCGUUUCAAGCUUGUGGUGUACGACCGACCGUACUUUCGUACAGCUGAGAGAGCCUGAGAUUCGAGAAAAAGAAAGCCGGGAGAGAAAAAAAGAUUGGCUUUGCGGGCAUAACUUGCGCGUUCUGCAGUCAGCCACGUCCAUGAUUAUAUCAAGCACGUUAUGCGAGAUGGUAACGAGAACACAUAAUUUUGCAAAGUCACAUAUGUAAAUGUAAUCUUGACUCUGAGCG